rnacentral:lncRNA from 1 species
AGAUGCAUGAACUUAGUACCCUUGAUAUGAACACUAGUAUAUUAAGUCGAGUAGUUGCAAUGCUUAAUAGGACUCAAUAAAAGUCGAGUGAUUGCCUUUCACUCGCGAGUUAUAGGAGUUGAUUGCUUUACUUAUGUUGCAACUAUAAGGACGAUGGACGGGGCCGGGCUUAUGUUCGGUACUCGGUGGUUUGCCCCGUCUGUCUACAUGAAAUUGGACUAAGGUCGAGAUGUGAUAGUGUUCGUGAUCAAGUGUUU